UAACUGUCUCUUUUUCUCUAUUUAAAAUUUCCUUAAAGGGUGAAAAUUCUCUUAGAUUAAUAAAAUAGACGAGAAGACCCUUAGAAUUAUUAAUAAAUAGUUUAACUCUUAACUAUACUUUUUUGUUGGGGCAACAUAGGUUACAGUACAUUCUAAUAAAUUACCUAAAAAAAUUAAAAUUAGGACAAGGUAUACUAAGUUAAAACUAAUUACCUAAGGGAUAACAGCAUAAUUUAAUUUUAAGUUUGUGACCUCGAUGUUGGACUAG
rnacentral:rRNA from 1 species